UACGUAGGUGGCAAGCGUUUGUCCGGAUUUAUUGGGUUUAAAGGGUGCGUAGGCGGCCCUGUAAGUCAGUGCUGAAAUACCCCGGCUUAACCGGGGGGGUGGCAUUGAUACUGGCAGGGCUUGAGUACAGAUGAGGUAGGCGGAAUUGACGGUGUAGCGGUGAAAUGCAUAGAUAUCGUCAAGAACACCGAUAGCGAAGGCAGCUUACUGGGCUGUAAACUGACGCUGAUGCACGAAAGUGUGGGGGAUCAAACAGG
rnacentral:rRNA from 1 species